ensembl:lncRNA
CAAAAAGGAGGAGGCUCGCCUUCGGAGAGCAGAGACGGGAGAAGGCAGACAGCGAGACUGCCCGAGGAACGGGAGGAGAGGGGAGGACAGGAGAUCCGAAGCUAAAAGCUCGGUCACAUCUAGACAGGACACAAUAUGAGGUAAAGCUAGAAUGAAGGACAGGAUUAAAAGAAGGGAAGAGAAAUGAGCGGACAGGGCACAGAGAGGGAGAAAUGACAGACAAUCAGGAAAGGGAACGUGCAUAAAGGAAAGACAAAGAUGAUUUCUCCAUGUGUGACCAGAAGGAGGGCGGUUAAAAAGAAAGAGAAAGGAGUAACAGGGAAAAGGGUCUUAAGACGGAGACAAAAGAAGCAAGCAGUGCACAAGUCCUAGUUAAAUGCUUAGAAAAUCACCAGGCUGUCGGGCUGAGCUGGAAGACGAGCCCUAGCCGUACCCAAGAGGGGACCAUCAGAAAGACGGAGGCAGGCAAUUUAAGUAGCUGGUUACUAGGUAAAAAUGAAAAAAAAAAUUGAAGAAGGAAAAGGUGAGAAGCAGAAGAGGGAAAACCCAAAGGACACACUGGCCCAGAAACCUUUUUAACUUUCUGUAAGAAUCUUCAAGGCCCCAAACUAGGCCAAGAUUCUGACUGACAUUUCUGAGCUCACCAGCUGCUGUUUCCUUGAGAGAAUUCUGACAGGAAGGCAUAGAAACGCAAGCCAACACUGCCAGCGCCGAAAAAAAAUAAAUAAAUAACAACCGUGCUCUGAGCACCUCAAUGGGGCCGAAACCUGUCGGAGAAGGCACACAGCUGAGAAGGACCGCCUGCAACUUUUCCCCAGGCUCGGACAAGGGAUGUUCAGGAUGUACCAAAGACUCUUCACACUAGAGGCUGCAGUCACCUCCCAAGGAGCUGCCUCCUGCUCUGGCUGGUCAAACGGAACCAAGUCCGUCUUCCUGAGAGGUUUGGUCCCCUUCAACCAGCUACAGCAGGGCUGGCAAUGCCCAGUCCUUGGAGAAACAGAAGCAACUCACGUGUGGCUGAAAUUACCUGCUCAUACUUCCCUUAAGAAAACCACUCUGGUUUUGUUAUCAUAGUCUCAUGAGAGAAAAGAGGAGCCCUGGCUUCAAAAGUGAGAAAGAUGUGAAAGCUCAACACAGAGAGCUCUGUGCCUUUGUACCCACAACUAGACCCAGUCACACACUUGACAUACACAUCAAAGAUUUUAAGAAUGGAAAUUGUGCCAGCCCUGGGCCAGCCAGGGGGAAAACAUGAGACACACAAGACAGGGCCCCUGCUCAUAAGUGGUAACGGUCUAAGUAAAGAAAUUGGACAUAUAAAUAUGGCCCAACUUAACGGAAUUGCUAGUCAGAGCAUGGCUAGUUCCAAGACGCGAUUCUUCUUAUUUAGUCCACCAAACACACCUGGCACACUGUGUACCAUCAAGUUUCUAUGGAUCCAUUCAGCCCAAAAUAUCUAUUCCUUAAGACAUAUAUAUGUGAGUCAGUUUCCUGAUCUGUAGAAUGGGAAUAAUAAUCAUAGCACCUACCUCAUAUGGUUUUAUGUGGAAUGAAGUGAGAAUACAAGGAAAGGAGUUAGAAAGCUCUCAACAAUUGUUAUCUGUUAUUAAGAGGAGAUCCUGACCUGUCCUUCCAAUUUCUCUUUCAAGAUUUGUGUCUUUGACAGUGCACCUAGCAAUGUGCCCAGAACUUAGAUGUGCUCAGGAACAUUUGUUUGAAUUCCAGAAGCACAUGUGUUCACAAGCCAUCCUCUGACACAAUUACGCUCGUAUGAUGUGUAGAGCCCACUGCAGUAUCCACACAGGGAAGCCUGGGGCUCACUGGCAUGUACCUUGGAGGCAGGAAGCCUGGGUUUUAACUCUGCCCCUCUCAUUUGUUAGCUGUGAUAUAGCCUCUCUGAGCCUCCAUUAACAUUGUAUAAACCUUAGUUUCUUCAUCAUAAAAUGGGGACAACGACACUUAAAGUUAAGGAUUUCAAAAGAUAAUGUUUGUGAAGAGCCAAAUAUUAUUCCUCAAGAGAUGGUAGCUGCUGUUUUGUUGUUGUAAAUGGCAACAGCUCAAGGACAAUGUUGUGGCCACAGGUACCUGUAGCUAAAAGGGGAGGACUAGAUUUAAAACAAAAAAAAUAGAAAACCUCAAAAACUAAAACUUCAUUACAGGGUAUUUUUCUAUUCUAACUGUUAAUUCUACUGUCGUGUAGCAUGCAUUCAUCCUUGUAUAUGUUACUAGUAGGUAAUAAUUUUUACUAAAAAAAUACUUCACACAUGAGACCGACAGUAGCAUCUUAAAGAAACAUCUUGCCUGGAAAGCCUUCAUUUAUGAGCUGUUGAGAUGCUAGUCUGGAACCACGUGUCCUCCUGAGUACAUCAAGGCUUCAGAGUGGGUAUUCCAAAGGUGUGGAGUUUAGACAUAAGCAAUGGAGCCAGACUGCCUGGACUCAAAUCCCAACACCCUCACCCCCACCUGCUGUGCCACUUUGGGCAAGUUGCUUGACCUUUCAGGGCCUGCGUUUCCUCAUAUGUAGAACAGGGAUAUUAUUAAUAGUAUCUAUCUCAUAGGCUUUUCAUGAGAAUGAAAUGAAAAUACAUGAAAAGAUAUAAAACUGGUGCUGGGUACAUCAUAAGCUUAUAAGAGUUUUUGUCUUUGACAAUGUACCUGAAAUAUUCCUGAAACGAAAUUGGUGUUCAAUAAAAACUUAUUUAAUAAAUUAUCGCUUUCUUUUUUUUCUUGUUCUAAACCCAUACUAUGAGAUCUUGUAAUUUCUGGGUCAACUCUUUCGGCUUUUCUCUUUAGAUAUAGCACACUGUGCAAACCAGGAGUAAGGGGUGGGAUGCUGGCCAGCUCUCUCUGCCUUCCCAGUUCUGCAGUGUGACGGAGCUUCCCCGAGUGCUAGAUGUAUGCCACAGGGGGUAGAGGCAGGGGGAUCCUGAAGCACGGUGACGGAGCUCUCAAAAAGACACCUGGGAGGACAGAAGUGUUAACCGAUGUAAAAACAAAUACGGCAUGGUCAAAGACCAGAUGUACUUGACGAGGAGGGCUCUUCUCCACCUGGAGACCAGAGGUCAUGUAGGUCAAGAUGAGAUGAACAAUGGCAGGUGCAGGCAGUGGGAGGCUAAAGAAAGGGUCACUUCCAAUUUGGGAUUUUAUGGCUAAAGUACCUGAUGAAACUGGACAGGACCAUAUUAGUCUAAGACUAAAUAAUGUCUUCCCCUAUGUUAGAAAGAAGACCACCUUCACAGCUUGACCUGAAGGAUACCUAACUAGCCCCACUACUGGGUGGUUUUGGAAGUGACUCUGCACCUAUGGCAGGUCAUAGGACUUCCAACAAGGGUCAGAGAACACAGGGUAAACAUUACUAUUCAAAUUCUUCCACCCUUGCCUUUGACUAGCCCAUCUUUGAGGGCCACAGGAUGGAAGGAGUUCUAACCACAGCCUGCAUCCAAACUUAAGAUACCAUACUGGGAGGCCGAGUGGUUAAGUUCGCGCACUCUGCUGCAGGUGGCCCAGUGUUUCGUCGGUUCGAAUCCUGGGCACGGACAUGGUACCACUCAUCAAGCCAUGCUGAGGCAACGUCCCACAUGCCACAACUAGAAGGACCCACAACUAAGAAUAUGCAACUAUGUACCAGGCGGCUUUGGGGAGAAAAAGGAAAAAAAAAAAAUAAUAAUAAUAAUGAAAAGAUACCAUACUGGCCCCUCGUACUUGGUCCCUGAGAGUACAACUGCAAUUCCAUCUUCUGUCUGAUUUGCAUAAAACCAGAAGAGGAGCCAAUGCACCCCUGCUCCUACUGGCCACUAAAGAGAAAAGUGGAACCCUUAGGAAAACAUAUGUUUCCUGGCAAUUUGAAUGGUCUUGAUUUCUUCAUCCAGAGGUCCCGCAAGACCAAACUCUGUGUUUUAGAAAGGAAUCAAGCACACUCAAAGAGCUGGGCAUCGUGCCAAUGGGCUGCUCUUCUCAUCCUGCCACAGCCCCUUUUCAGGGCAAAAAUCUAGGUUAGGCCUACCCAGUGGAGCAUGUGGUUUUGUUAUUGCUGCUGUGACCCUUCAUGCAUGUUCCUGUGUAAUCAUCAUUCCUGUGCCAGGAAGAAGCAGCGCGUGACAUCACAGUGGUCAAAAUUGACAACUCGGGGUCACCUUCAGAAUGGACCCACCCCCACAUCUGGUGAACAUUACAUCUAAGAGGGAAAAAAUGAUAACACACAAGUGCUGAAGGAGCUCUUCCCCUGAAGCAGUUGAUGGAAAAUAGUGCUGGGGGUAUCUAUCUUGCAUGAAUUCAGAGAAAACAGGAAAAUCCCAUUCGACAAAGUUCAUCAAAGAUUUUCUUUUUGAUGAUAAUUCUCAGUGUUGGCAAGACUGUUGGCCAACAGACAGCUCCCACGCUGCUGCAGGGAGUGAAUAUUGUUAUACACUCCCCAGAGCAUAGCUUACCAACACGCAUCUACUGAGGGUGCUAUUACUUUCUCUGCCCAGAAUCUUCCCUUCCUCUGUUAACAGCUCAGUCUUUCUUUCUUGGCCAUUCUUCUUAAAAUUCUUCCUCUGCUCCGUUCACCAGGUUUCUACAAGAACCUUUCACGACCACACACCGCCAUCUGAUCUAAGCAAUCCCAGUGAGCCCUUUUAUGGGAAUUUGGACUUGUGGUCUACAAAAAUCAGGAAUACAUUUCCUUGGAGAGCUAAAAUAGAAAGAUGUGAAGCUCCACGAUUGGUCUCAGUAUUUCCUGCCAGUAUUCAGUAAGAGAGUGAACGAAUUACAUAAACAGAGCCCAAAGAGAGAAGAGACACAGAAUCCACAAGGCAUUUAAGCCCUGGACCCACUUAUUCCCAAGGCUCAGUUCCCAUAUCCUG